rnacentral:tRNA from 2 species
GGGAAUGCAGCUCAGUUGGUAGAGUGCUUGCCUGGCAUUCAUGAAGCCCUGGGUUCAAUCCCCAACAUCACCA